UGCUGUUCCUGCCUUCUCUCUACUCUCCAUGCUUGAGAGUCAGGAGGGGGUGGCUCUUGCUCAUCACCUGAAUGCUGUCUCUCAUGUUCACUGCUUAGCCUCUCUUGGUCCUCCUGCCCCAUUCCUUCCUCAUGCACUCUGCUUUGAUA